CCGCUGCCGCUGCCAAACCAAUUCGACCCGAUCCCGGAGCAAGUGCCUCAUUCGCAAGCCGCGUGCGCUCUCCUCGACGCUCCGUGGCCCACUGUGGCCCACUGGCUGUAUUUAUAGACAACAUACACAAAGCGCUAAUCUUGACGCAUUACCUGUGACGUCGCGUCGCCCUGCCUGCCUCCAUUGUUGGCCGUGGCGAUCGUCUAUGUGGAGGAGGGUGGAGAGGAGGCUGUCGAGACGGAGAGAGCAGAGCGCAUUCUACAAUAUUUUUUCGCUAGACUCGCACCGACGUACGCAUACCCUAACAUGCCUUUCUGCAGCAAAGGCGCCACAUCCUUGGGAUUGCGGUUCCUGGUCUCCGGCAAGUAGCGGCAGGUCAGGAGGAAUCCAUAGAGGCAUAUCAGAGAGCAGGGUAUAAAGGCAAACGGUCCAAUGCCCGACUGCAGGAGGGGGAACACCAUGCCAAGCAGAAAGUUGGAUAGCCAAUUGGUCAGGCUGCCCAAGGCCAUUGCAGCGGGACGUGGCGACACCUCGAAGAUCUCUAUCAAUAGGCCAAAGAGUGAUGAACAUAGCACAUGCACAUUUCGGAUACUCACCAGAGCCAAUGAAGAAGGGCAUGGGUCCCAGACCCAAGUUAAAGGCAACGAUGUACAGCGACAGAAAGAGGAUGCAGCCGUAGGAAACCUUCUGGUACGAGCUCUAAGGUGAAAGGAUACGUAAGCGUAUGCCAAAGGUAUACGUCUAUUCAAGGUGUUGCUACCAUAAGCUCGAGCCCGACGCUGAGCAAAGACAGAAAAAUGGAUGAGAAUAGGCAGGAGAGCAUCAUCAUGAUUCGCCUGUUGAAGCUGGCCAUCAUCCAGGGUCCGAA